rnacentral:rRNA from 1 species
UACAGAGGGGGCAAGCGUUGUUCGGAAUUACUGGGCGUAAAGGGCGCGUAGGCGGCCUGCUAAGUCGAACGUGAAAUCCCCGGGCUCAACCCGGGAACUGCGUCCGAUACUGGCAGGCUUGAAUCCGGGAGAGGGAUGCGGAAUUCCAGGUGUAGCGGUGAAAUGCGUAGAUAUCGAGAGGAACACCUGCGGCGAAGGCGGGUUGCUGGGCUGACACUGACGCUGAUGCGCGAAAGCCAGGGGAGCGAACGGG